ACCGCCACCCUCUGUCUCCUACCUUCAAGCCAGUUCUGUAUCCAAAUGGCUAGUUGCCCCUGUAUUCCAUGUGAUCUAACCUAGCUAAACAGUCUGCCAUGCGAAACCUUGUAGAACGCCUUACUGAAGUCCAUUUAGAUCACGUCCACCACUCUGCCUUCAACAGUCCUCUUUGUUACUUCUUCAAAAAACGCAAUUAAGUUAGUGGGUCAUGAUUUCCCACAUACAAAGCCAUGUUGAUAAUAAUAAUCAGUCUUUGCUUUUCCAAAUACUCACAAGUCCCGUCCCUCACGAUCCUCUCUGGCAACUUGCCCACAACCAAUGUCAGGCAGGUAAGGAUGGUGUAUUCCUUUCCCUUUAGAAUGGUAGUGAGCAAUUUACAAUUUUAACAAUGGUCCUACAGCUUUGUAGUUGCCUCAUGUCUCACUCCACAAGCUUUCCAGCCCCCAGUUUAGACAUUUGUUGCCAUGUUGCUUUGUCAGAGGUUCCAUCUGUUGGAUGAUAUGUUAAACCAAGAUCCUGUCUGCCUGUUCAACUGGGCAUAGAAAAAUGCUAUGGCACUCUUCAGUGAAGAGCAGGAACUUCGUCUGGCCAACAUUUAUCCCUCAUUCAACAACAAUAAUAACAAACUAAAUGCUCACUUCUUCUGUUUGCCAUUUGUUGUUUGUAAAUUGACUUUCAUGAUUCCCCAGAAAACAGCAAAAUACUUAAAAAGUAAUUCUGAAGAUGUGAAAGGCACUGCAUAAGUACAAUUUCCUCAUGCAUACUUUUUGAAUAAAAGUAGAGUUGCCAUAAUCCUACCAGUCCAUAGGGCUGCUUGCUCAUUGGAGAGAUGCAACUGGUGGUGGUUUAGCCUGAGGGUCACCGUGCCUCUGGAAAGGGGAGAGGUUGAAAAGAGGAGCCCUUCAUGGUAUCCUCAGCUGGUACAGGAAUUGAAUGCCACAUUGUUGGAUUUCCAAUCCAACCAGCAGAGCUAACUGACACCCUUUCUUUUUAAAUACAGAAAGGUGAAUGACUGAAUUUAAGAAGUACUUUCCCAGACAUAUCUUUUACGUUAUGACUUUCAAUUAUUCAUUAAUAUAGAAUUUAUAGCACAAAGACAGGCCAUUUGACAUGACCAGUUUUACUUAAGAUGAAAGAAUGGGUCUGUAAACUCUUUCACAGUUGCAUUGAAAAUUCUGUAUGAGUUAUUGGUUACGCCAGAUGGCCGGAAUCAAUAAAUUAGAACAACAGUGACUAAGUGCUGCAGAGAAAGGUCUAAAUUCAGUCCAGUUUUGUAAAUUUAACCAUUACUGUCCUUUAUGGAAAGCUGCAUGAUGGUGUAAAUGCCAUGCUGUCAUCUACUAGAGAACAGGAUGUCUGUGAAUAAUCUGUGGUUUUUAUAUCCUGGCACGGUCGUGUUGUGGUGAUGUAUCACACAGACAGCUGUAAGUUGAUCUGAGGGAAAGAAGCCCCAGAGGCAUUGGUUGAACCUCUAAGGAACAUUGUCCACACAGAUUCAACAUCAGUCUCACUAUCAGCGAAGGAGCCAACAAGUGAAAAUAGUCUGUCAGACUUGGUUUUAAUGCACCUCUGUGUUUCAUAAUGCUCAUUGACCUCAUCGAGUUAUGGGAUUUGCAAUCUUGCUCCCACUCACUAUUGCUCACUGCUAUCCCUGUUAAACAUUAAGCAAUGUUGUCCCUGAGAUGGAUGCAGCAUUGUGGCUUGUCCCCUUUAUUGUGUUUAGUCUCAGCCUUGCUUUCAGCACUCUGUAACUUACUACUGCAUCGGCAGUAUAACCAUAAAUGAAAUCAAACAACCGCCCUGAAUCCAAUGCAUAUCAGUGUUUUGUGACAGCUUCUUAUGUGAUGAUACUCAUGCAUUGACGAUGGGAGAAACCAGAGGCAAUGUUUCACCACAUUUUAUACAGCUCAAAAUAUUCUAUGUAAGGCAAUCAGAGUCCAGAAGGAUAAAAUCUCCAGCUGUGCUGCUCGUUGUUUUUCCACAGUUCGAGAGAAUAAUAGAAACAUUGCACCAAAUGUUUGGUUGCUCCCCCUAAUAUCAACUUCCAAGACACUCCUGCCAUUUUUAUAUUGUUGAACCUCUACAAGGUGUUUCUGGAUGCCUUUCUGUGUUAAAGGCUCUGUGUAAAUGCACAUCAAUGUUAUUCACAUCUCUAUGGCUCUUCAUUGAAACCUUCACGUGUUGGGGGAGUGGGUAGGUGGGCACAAUACUGACAAAACUGAACCCUCUCACCCCCCCUUGCCAAUGCCAAUGGCGGAAAUCCAAAGGAUCACCUACAUGCAAGCCUACACGGUAAUUUUGGAAGCAAACUUUUCACAUCAGCUGUUUGGUUAUCUUCAAUGAGUAUCAGAUUAUCACUGCAAUUGUGCAGUAUUCACUGAACCAGAGAGUCAUGGGUUUACUACUUGCUGACAGGAGUUGGAACACAAGAUCUUGGCUGGCACCCCAUUACAGUUCUGCAGUUAUGCCAAAGCCCUGUCUACAUGUUCUGAUAGUUACCAUGACACCAAUCAAAUAAGAAGAAGAUCUUAAACACAAAGCUGGGACCUUGAACAGCAUAUUUUCCCGAAAGUGAGAAACCAGAUCAGCUUGAUGUUCAUCUCAUUACGGAUGUGCUGAUGUACAUGACUGAUGAUUUCCUGUGUGAAGUGCUUUCAGGAAUCUGGAUGAUCUGAUAAGGCUUUAUAUAAAUUAAUAUUAAAUAGUAUAGUCUGAAAAAUUUUAUACAUUUUCCAUGGAAGCCAAGGAUUGAAAAUAACAAAUCAGAACUUCAAAAUAUUAACUCCAUUUUUUCAUGUAAUUGUUAAAAAUUGUUAAUUGUGACAUGUAAAAUUUUGUUGAAACCCCUUCCCACACACCUCCCCUUCCCCCAUUACUGAUCAGACCACCAAUACCCUCUUCUUAUUUUUCAUAGAGGUAUUAAUAAAUCUGGGGGAGCAACUGCCAGAUCAUACUACCCAAAAUUCAUGGAAACAAAUUUUAUCCUGUUCAGGCUAAAGCUUGUACCAUGCAUGUUAACUUUAUUACAUCAAGUUUUGUGUAAGUGGUGUGCUAAUGCAGAGCUUAAAAUGGUGAACUGGCAAGCUGAAAGCUGUGAAUUCAAAUCUUAUCAUAAUCCCAAAUUGGAAAAUUGAAUUCAAUGUAUAAUAAUAACUUGUAUUAAUAUAGUGACUUUAUCAUAUAAAAGUGUUCUAACUUUCUUUCCAGAACUUCUAUCACAUGACAUUUGGCACAGAACUAGAUAUGAGGUGCUAUUAGGAGCAAAACCUUGGUCAAAUAAUGAAGAGAGAAAGGAAAAGAGGGUCAAGGAUGAAAUUAUACCAUUUACAACUGCCAGUGGUGAAGAGAUUAACAUCUGAAUGUGGAAGAGCCAUCUCACCAACUCUCAUCAGAGUACUACCCAGAGAAUGAUCCUGACUAUUGUGUGUGGAUGCCCCCUUCAGGUCAAACAGGCGAUGGUAGGACACAUCUGAAUGACAAAUAUGGCUAUUGAAAGCCCAAGGCAGUUGCCAUGUCCCAGGGAUGCACAUCUUGCUGGAGGGGAUUUGUAAAUGUGCCUAUACUGCCACUUUCAGAACACUACGUCUGCAGUCUGGAAGCUUAUGGCAGCAGCUGAAACUGGAGAACAGUGCAACUCUGAAAGUCUCAUCAAGGUUAUUUUGCUGUUGCUUUGCGUCCCUACACCCCAUCCCUGUUAGGAUGUUUUUGGGACUCUUGAGCACACAAAACAGUAUUUACAUAAAAUUCUGUUUCUCCUUUUUGGGUUCCCACUGGGGCAGAAUCGCAGUCCCAACUGAUGUCCCAGCAGACACAUCUGACGGUAUUAUCAUACAUUGGAACAAUUUGAUAUCUGUGGCUCCUAACGUGAUGUGCUUAUGGUUUUGAUAGUGCUGCCUGGGACAGCCCCCCAGUUCUUCUGUCUAAAGUGGAGUAUGACUACUUACUACUUGGGAAAUGAAACAGGAGUUUUUCAUUUGAUGCCUGAGUUGGUAUUUUCCCUUGAGAGCACAAACCAGAGUUUGAGAUUCUGAGAUACUUAGAGCAGCAGUAAGUCUUUGGAUGACCACAGAUGACACAGAGGCCAGUAGCUGCAGCUAUUUGUACUAAUCAUUUGAGAAGUUCAGGACAAGAUAUCCACAAUAAAUAGCCAUAAGUCUACACUCAAUUCACAUCUGUUUAUUAUGUACAGCCUCCGUUUACUCUUGGUUUUUGGCUUCUUCAGUGCUUGCUCAUGUUUGGUUUCAAAAUCUUCAGAUGUAAUGUAAGAUUAAUGUUGUGAUUCCAGACUAACUGGAAACCCACCUGGAGUUCAUAUCAGAAAUUCCUGGGGUGUACCAUGCAUCUAUUUUGCAGUUAAUUGACAGUGCAGCAUGAACCCCCAGAAUUUCAGAAACAUUGGUCAGAAAAUUACACUUUGAGUGUGUGUGUGGGUGCAUGUGCAUACAAAAGCAACUGUAUUGUGCUGUCUGUCACCUUAGUAAAAGGGAGAGGAUAUGCUUGGUAAUAUAGCAUUUGGUUGCUUUGUUAUGAUGAGAAUAAAUCAUUUUAUUUGGAA